rnacentral:tRNA from 1 species
GGCGCUAUAGUGUAGUGGUUAUCACUCAGGAUUCUGAUAUGAAGAUUCCUGUAACCCAGGUUCGAGCCCUGGUAGCGCCU